AUUGAACGCUGGCGGCAUGCCUUACACAUGCAAGUCGAACGGCGGCACGGAGCUUGCUCUGGUGGCGAGUGGCGAACGGGUGAGUAAUAUAUCGGAACGUACCCAGGAGUGGGGGAUAACGUAGCGAAAGUUACGCUAAUACCGCAUACGUCCUAAGGGAGAAAGCGGGGGAUCGCAAGACCUCGUGCUCAUGGAGCGGCCGAUAUCUGAUUAGCUAGUUGGUGGGGUAAAGGCCUACCAAGGCAACGAUCAGUAGCUGGUCUGAGAGGACGCCCAGCCAAACUGGAACUGAGACACGGUCCAGACUCCUACGGGAGGCAGCAGUGGGGAAUUUUGGACAAUGGGGGCAACCCUGAUCCAGCAAUGCCGCGUGAGUGAAGAAGGCCCUCGGGUUGUAAAGCUCUUUUGUCAGGGAAGAAAAGGGAUUGGCUAAUAUCUGGUCCUCAUGACGGUACCUGAAGAAUAAGCACCGGCUAACUACGUGCCAGCAGCCGCCGUAA
rnacentral:rRNA from 1 species